GGUGGCACAGUGGCUAAGCACUUGGCUGCUAAUCAAAAGGUUGGUGGUUCGAACCCACCAACCA
rfam:Loxodonta africana unplaced genomic scaffold scaffold_4, whole genome shotgun sequence.